AAGUCGUAACAAGGUCUCCGUUGGUGAACCAGCGGAGGGAUCAUUACAGAGUGUCAAAACUCCCAAAACCCAUGUGAACAUACCUCAUCGUUGCCUCGGCGGGUUGCGCGCCCCACCCGCGGGAAGCUACCCUGUAGCGACCCGCGCUGGAGCGCGCUGCACGCCCGCCGAAGGCCCCAACAAACUCUGUUAACCUAACUGGAACUCUGAAUACUGUAACUAAAUAAGUUAAAACUUUCAACAACGGAUCUCUUGGUUCUG
rnacentral:misc_RNA from 1 species